AAAAUUUGCCGAAAUAUUUUCAUUUUACCAUAACUUGGUUUUUUCAAUUUGACAUUUAGCGACGCCCAAGGAAAACACACGCACAGUCGCUAUAAAACAUACGCAAAAAAACGCUAUCGCUGAGGACCUCAUUGUAACUCAACGUUAUUAGCAUUGGUGACCAUAAACAUAUGUUACACAUAUGUGGUAAAUUAAAUGCAUUAUUUAUUGAAAAAGUGUGCACACACCAACAACUUGCGCCCUAGGAAGAUAUUAUAGUGCAUAAAAUAUUAUAAAAAAAAACAAUAAAAUAUGAUAAAAAUAUGUUUGGUUAAAUUUAAAAUGUUUGGUAUUUGUAGGGUGGUUGCGAAAUGGGAGUUGUAGUUAAAGAUCGUUAGCCUCGCAGACGAUGCGAGUGGAAACAAGCUAACCAAAAGGCGGAUCGAACUUGAAGGCUCUGUUGCCACAGCCGAUGGUCCCGCAAUACUAACUCUCAGCCGCUUGGGUCCUCGAGUUCCAAGUUUGCAAAAUUAGCAAACCCAAGGACACCCACAGUUCUGACAAACGUACCUCAGUAACAUCGACGACGUAAUCAACUCACUCCCACAAUAAAUCGUCAUCGUCUUCCCAUUGUCAUCAACAGAAACUGCCUAGGCAUUUUAGUGGACAUCAUACAUAGCGUACGCAUACCUACGUUGAUACAGGUGGUGGCCGUAAGUGCUACGCUUGUACGAAGUAUCGACACACUAACAAUUUGCGCCCUAAUAAGAAGUUGAAGUACAUUAUAAGUUGAAGACUAUUAUGAUACAAGAAAUACAAAGCUAUUAAAAUAUGUUUGGUUAAAUUAACAAAA
rnacentral:sRNA from 1 species